UUUGUCUACUUUGAAAAGAUGGGAGAAGACCAAAGGCAAUUGUUGAUUGAUGUCUACAUACAUAGACCUUGUUAGGUGAAAUUAUUUUAUCUUAUGUCUAUGUCUAGAAUUUUAUUUUUUUUUAUUUUGUAAACUGUGAGUCCAUUUCAUUUUUACAAAAAUGGUACUGAUGUCCUACUAGUCUUCUGCAGAUUAAAACAGCAAUUUUAGGAUGUGUUUGGCUUAUACAUUUGUGAAGUGAUUGUACAAGAGAAAGGUAGAACCGUAGAUGAUAGGAA
rnacentral:lncRNA from 1 species